UGGAGAUCAGGUGACAUGCAAACGGCAUGUCACCGUGUACCCAGCGGCCUCCAAUCCAACGUCCAAGCACCAUCCAACGGAGGGACACGCAGCACAGUACUUCAACGCAAAAAAGGCAACCAACCGAGUCAAAGCAGGACCAAAUCGUGGAGGGCGCGGUCAGCUCCUCUUCUCGCGCGGGAAGGCGGGGAAGAGUGAGGGAUUGACGCCACGAUUCGCCGGCGCCUCCUCUUCUCGCGCGCUUCGCCGGCGGCCCCCGCUCUCCGCCGCCCCAACCCGUCGAGCGCCGCCGCUGUGGAGCGCCGCCCGGCAACUAGCGUCGUCCGCCGCGGCAACCCGUCGAGCGCCGCCGCGGGAACCGAUGGACGAGCCGGCCGCCGCGGUAGCCAAGGGAGGAGCGCCGGCCGCCGCGGUAGCGCGCCUGACGGAAGAGCGCCCGACGCUUCACGGAAUUGAGUGUUGUGCGAUGGGAUCGAUUGGCAACAGGAUACCCGAAGUUGGUAUGCGGUUCAGAAAUUCGGAUGAGGCUUGGGAUUUCUGGGUGCAAUAUGGUGGUCACAUAGGCUUUGAUGUGAGGAAAAGAAAUACCAUCAAAAGCAGAAUUGAUGGAACAAUCACUUCAUGUAGGUUUGUUUGUUCCGGCAACAAAAUUAAGGAGAAAGACAACUUGGCUUGAUAAGUUACUCAAGGGGAAGCGUAAACCAUUGAAAGCUACCGCACCGACCAAAAAGGGAGAAAAUCCAAAAAAGGAGGAUGGUGUGCAACAAAAGAAGAAGGAUGGUGUGCCAAAAAAGAAGAAGGAUGGUGUGCCAAAAAAGAAGAAGGAUGGUGUGCAACAAAAGAAGAAGGAUGAUGUACAGCCUCAAGUAUUACUGGAGAAGUGUACCAACACCAAAGGAGUAAAUAUGGAGCCUCAAGGUUACAAUGCUAUCAUGAGUUUCACCCAGCUCUUGACGGCUCCGCCUUGUGGUGAGGAUGGUCUGUUCUAGCGUGCAAGCUCGCUAGAAGUAUUUUGGACAUAGUUAAGUAUAGUAUUUUGGGCUAACUAUAGUCGUCUUUUGGGGCCUAAGUGUACAAAUCAAAUGGCACUAAAUGGCUGUGAAGAGCUCACUGAAUUCACUUGACAGUACUGAAACUUCUGAAUUACUUGUGAUGAAGUGGGUUGUUCUGAAUCUAAAUAGUGAGGACUGGCAUGUCUAAAUUUCUUAUGAAUAUGAUGGAAACAGUAUAUUUGACUGUUGUUUGUACUGUUUCCGGACUAAAAGGCUGAUGUUUAUA